rnacentral:rRNA from 1 species
AGCGAACGCUGGCGGCAGGCCUAACACAUGCAAGUCGAACGGACCCUUCGGGGUUAGUGGCGGACGGGUGAGUAACACGUGGGAACGUGCCUUUAGGUUCGGAAUAGCUCCUGGAAACGGGCUGUAAUGCCGAAUGUGCCCUUCGGGGGACAGAUUUAUCGCCUUUAGAGCGGCCCGCGUCUGAUUAGCUAGUUGGUGAGGUAAUGGCUCACCAAGGCGACGAUCAGUAGCUGGUCUGAGAGGAUGACCAGCCAAAUUGGGACUGAGACACGGCCCAAACUCCUACGGGAGGCAGCAGUGGGGAAUCUUGCGCAAUGGGCGAAAGCCUGACGCAGCCAUGCCGCGUGAAUGAUGAAGGUCUUAGGAUUGUAAAAUUCUUUCACCGGGGACGAUAAUGACGGUACCCGGAGAAGAAGCCCCGGCUAACUUCGUGCCAGCCGCCGCAGUAACAC